UACAGAGGUCUCAAGCGUUGUUCGGAUUCAUUGGGCGUAAAGGGCGCGUAGGCUGCGGGGCAAGUCGGGUGUGAAAUCUCAGAGCUCAACUCUGAAACUGCACUCGAUACUGCUUUGCUUGAGGACUGGAGAGGAGAUUGGAAUUCAUGGUGUAGCAGUGAAAUGCGUAGAGAUCAUGAGGAAGACCAGUGGCGAAGGCGGGUCUCUGGACAGUUCCUGACACUGAGGCACGAAGGCCAGGGGAGCAAACGGG
rnacentral:rRNA from 1 species